AUGGGCGCAGCCUGAUCCAGCAAUGCCGCGUGAGUGAAGAAGGCCUUCGGGUUGUAAACCGCUUUUAUCAGGGAAGAUAAUGACAGUGCCUCUGGAAUAAGGCCCUGCUAACUCCCUGCCACCACCCCCGGGAAUAAA
rnacentral:rRNA from 1 species